rnacentral:rRNA from 1 species
GACGAACGCUGGCGGCGUGCUUAACACAUGCAAGUCGAACGAAGCUUGAUUACGGAUUCUUCGGAUGAAGUAUGAUAUGACUGAGUGGCGGACGGGUGAGUAACGCGUGAGUAACCUGCCCUUCAGAGGGGGAUAGCGUUUGGAAACGAACGGUAAUACCGCAUAAUGUAUUUUGACCGCAUGAUCGAAAUACCAAAGAUUUAUCGCUGAAGGAUGGACUCGCGUCUGAUUAGGUAGUUGGUGGGGUAACGGCCUACCAAGCCGACGAUCAGUAGCCGGACUGAGAGGUUGAUCGGCCACAUUGGGACUGAGACACGGCCCAGACUCCUACGGGAGGCAGCAGUGGGGAAUAUUGCACAAUGGGCGCAAGCCUGAUGCAGCAACGCCGCGUGAAGGAAGACGGUUUUCGGAUUGUGAACUUCUGUUCUUAGGGAAGAAUAAUGACGGUAGCUAAGGAGCAAGCCACGGCUAACUACGUG